rnacentral:rRNA from 1 species
GACGAACGCUGGCGGCGUGCCUAAUAAAUGCAAGUCGAGCGAAUCGAUGGGAGCUUGCUCCCUGGGAUUAGCGGCGGACGGGUGAGUAACACGUGGGUAACCUGCCUGUAAGACUGGGAUAACCUCGGGAAACCGGAGCUAAUACCCGAUACUUUCUUUUCUCGCCUGAGGGACGAUGGAAAGAUGGUUCUGCUAUCACUUACAGAUGGACACGCGUCGCAUUAGCUAGUUAGUGAGGUAACGGCUCACCAAGGCAACUAUGCGUAGCCUACCUGAGAGGGUGAUCGGCCACACUGGGACUGAGACACGGCCCAGACCCCUACGGGAGGCAGCAGUAGGGAAUCUUCCGCAAUGGACGAAAGUCUGACGGAGCAACGCCGCGUGUGCGAAGAAGGCCUUCGGGUCGUAAAGCUCUGUUGUUAGGGAAGAACAAGUACGAGAGUAACUGCUCGUACCUUGACGGUACCUAACCAGAAAGCCACGGCUAACUACGUGCCAGCCGCCGCCGUAAUAC